rnacentral:rRNA from 1 species
AUCGAACGCUAGCGGGAUGCCUUACACAUGCAAGUCGAACGGCAGCACGGACUUCGGUCUGGUGGCGAGUGGCGAACGGGUGAGUAAUGUAUCGGAACGUGCCCAGUAGCGGGGGAUAACUACGCGAAAGCGUAGCUAAUACCGCAUACGCCCUACGGGGGAAAGCAGGGGAUCGUAAGACCUUGCACUAUUGGAGCGGCCGAUAUCGGAUUAGCUAGUUGGUGAGGUAAUGGCUCACCAAGGCGACGAUCCGUAGCUGGUUUGAGAGGACGACCAGCCACACUGGGACUGAGACACGGCCCAGACUCCUACGGGAGGCAGCAGUGGGGAAUUUUGGACAAUGGGGGAAACCCUGAUCCAGCCAUCCCGCGUGUGCGAUGAAGGCCUUCGGGUUGUAAAGCACUUUUGGCAGGAAAGAAAUGGCGUGUGUUAAUACCAUGCGCAGAUGACGGUACCUGCAGAAUAAGCACCGGCUAACUACGUGCCAGCCGCCGCCGUAA